GAGCUCUGCAGAGCUGAGGCACCGGCAGGGGAUUGCCCGCUGCCUGCCCAGCCCCUGGCAUGCAGCGCUCCUGCUUGCCCCGCUGGCAGCGCAGCCGUCCCGCAGCCCCCGGCCCCACGGCCAUGGCGCUCCAUCGCCAAGACGGCCCGGCGGGCUCUGCGCCGGCUCUUCUCCUUCAGCUGCCUCAGGGGACAGCGAGAGGAUUGAGCCCAGAGCCAGAAGCAGAAUGAUGCCAAAUGAUGCCAGCUCCAAAGGGCAGGUCCAGGAGGCAGUGACACCAAUGGGAGACAAACACUGGGUACACCCCAAUGGAUGGAUGCAUGGUGCUCAAGGCAACUAAUUGCCAAAGGAAAGUGCCUCUGUGGCAUCUAAUUCAGAAGUUCAUGGUUACAGAGAAGAAAUUUUGGAUGACCCAAGGGCUAAGGCAAAGCCACCUGUCCAGGCUGUGGGAGUGGCAGUCACCCAGCCCAGAACAGCUUGAGGAUCUGAGCAAUGGAAACAGAAGAUGAAGCCACAGAAAACAUCCUCUGCUGGUUCCUGCAGAGCACAA
rnacentral:lncRNA from 1 species